rnacentral:lncRNA from 1 species
GCCUUCAGAAUGUGGUCAUCAUCAUAUAGCUGGCGCUCCUGCAGAAACUCCAGAAGUGGGAACACCAAAUGCCUGUCGAGGUUCGGCGCCAUCCGCGGGGUAAGGUCAUAAUCAGCCAUUUUUCUCCACACUUCGGAUUCGAUUCUAAAUUCUCACUUCUUCUUCUGCUAGGGCACACACAAACACUGAUUCAAUACAAUAUAAUACACGAUAAAAUAAUCUCUUUGUGAUGUGUUCCGAUUAAACAGAAUUUUGGUGAACUGAAAAGUGCCUUAUGUGCGGCGGCGUAAACCUAC